GACGGAGGAUGCAAGUGUUAUCCGGAAUCACUGGGCGUAAAGCGUCUGUAGGUGGUUUAAAAAGUCUACUGUUAAAAAUUGAAGCUUAACUUCAAAGAUGCCGUAGAAACUUUUAAACUUGAGGAUGGUAGGGGUAGAGGGAAUUUCCAGUGGAGCGGUGAAAUGCGUAGAUCUUGGAAAGACCACCAAUGGCGAAGGCACUCUACUGGGCCAUGACUGACACUAAGAGACGAAAGCUAGGGGAGCAAGUGGG
rnacentral:rRNA from 1 species